AACAUACUGAUGAAUUCCAAUUACCGCCCCAGUCUGAAGAACAGUGAUUGGUUUAUUCUGAUAUGUU